UCAAGCUGGAAAGAGCGCAAGGGGAAUGCCUUGGCAUCAGGAGCCGAAGAAGGACGUGACAAGCUGCGAAAAGCCUCGGGGAGGAGCAAAUAUCCAUUGAUCCGGGGAUAUCCGAAUGGGGCAACCCGGCUGGACAAUAUCCAGUCAUCCUGCGUUGAACAAAAUAGGCGUAGGAAGGGAACCGCCUGAACUGAAACAUCUAAGUAGGGCGAGGAAGAGACAUCAACCGAGAUUCCGCAAGUAGUGGCGAGCGAACGCGGAAGAGGCCAAACCGAGGGAUUUAUUCCUCGGGGUUGCGGACAGUCAUUUAGCGGAAGUUAUCUAGGAGAAGGGUCUGGGAAGGCCCGCCAUAGAGGGUGAGAGCCCCGUAUCCGAAAGAGAAGGCCGUGCGACUGAAUCCAGAGUACCGCGGGACACGUGAAACCCCGUGGGAAACAGGGGGGACCACCCUCCAAGCCUAAAUACUACCUGAUGACCGAUAGAGGAGCAGUACCGUGAGGGAAAGGUGAAAAGGACCCCGGGAGGGGAGUGAAAGAGAACCUGAAACCUUGUGCUUACAAGCACUCAAAGCCCGUUAAAGGGUGAUGAGGUACCUUUUGUAGAAUGGUCCGGCGAGUUAUUGUUACUGGCAAGCUUAAGGCAUUCAGUGCCGGAGGCGAAGGGAGACCGAGUCUGAAUAGGGCGUAUGAAGUCAGUGGCAAUAGACCCGAAACCGGGUGACCUAUCCAUGGGCAGGUUGAAGUGGGGGUAAAACCCCAUGGAGGACCGAACGCACGCCCGUUGCAAUGGUCGGCGAUGACCUGUGGAUAGCGGUGAAAUUCCAAUCGAACUCGGAGAUAGCUGGUUCUCCCCGAAAUAGCUUUAGGGCUAGCGUUGGCUUAGAUUACCGGAGGUAAAGCACUGAAUGGGCUAGGGGCCGAUAAGGUUACUGAACCCUAUCAAACUCUGAAUGCCGGAUAAUUGAUGGCCAGCAGUCAGUCUACGUGAGAUAAGUCUCGUGGACAAAAGGGAAACAGCCCAGACCCACAGCUAAGGUCCCAAAGAUACGCUAAGUGGAAAACGAUGUGGAGUUGCGAAAACAACCAGGAUGUUGGCUUAGAAGCAGCCACUCAUUAAAAGAGUGCGUAAUAGCUCACUGGUCGAGUGACUCUGCGCGGAAAAUGUAACGGGGCUAAGCAUCUAACCGAAGCUUAGGAUUGUCGUAAGACAGUGGUAGGGGAGCGUUCCAUGUGGGGUGAAGUCGCAGCGGAAGCAGCGGUGGACUGCAUGGAAGUGAGAAUGCCGGAAUGAGUAGCGAGAAUUAUGUGGGAAUCAUAAUGGCCGAAAAUCUAAGGUUUCUUGGGGAAGGUUCGUCCGCCCAAGGUAAGCCGGGAGCUAAGGCGAGGCCGAAAGGCGUAGUCGAUGCACAUACGGUAGAAAUUCCGUAGCCACCGAACUUUAAGUCAGAGGGACACUUUUGGAUAGCGGAACCCGGGCGUUGGUUGACCCGGGCGAAAGGGAGCGAAAAUAUAGUAGCGAAGUCCGCGAUGCUGAGAGGCGAGAAAAGCUCUGAUGGAUACUAAGGUGCCCGUACCGCAAACCGACACAGGUAGAUGAGGAGAGAAUCCUAAGGCCAACGGGAGAAGGGUUGUUAAGGAACUCGGCAAGUUGACCCCGUAACUUCGGAAUAAGGGGAGCCUCGCAAGAGGCCGCAGUGAAAAGGCCCAAGCAACUGUUUACCAAAAACACAGGUCUAUGCUAAAUCGAAAGAUGACGUAUAUGGGCUGACGCCUGCCCGGUGCCGGAAGGUUAAGAGGAGAUGUCAGCGCAAGCGAAGCAUUGAAUUGAAGCCCCGGUAAACGGCGGCCGUAACUAUAACGGUCCUAAGGUAGCGAAAUUCCUUGUCAGGUAAGUUCUGACCCG
rnacentral:rRNA from 1 species